ACUAGAUGUGGUGGUCACGGUCUCUCGAAUCACCGGUUCGAGAGCUAAGAGGGAAGCCGGUGCGACACCGGCGCUGCCCCCGCAACUGUAAGCGGCGAGUUCUGGUCCCAUUCGAGUCACUGAAGCCGGGAGGCUUUGGGAAGACGGGACAAGAGCGAUGACCCGCGAGCCAGGAGACCUGCCGCGACCGCGUUGAACGU
rnacentral:ncRNA from 2 species